rnacentral:rRNA from 1 species
AAGGACGACCAUAUAGGGCGAAUGAUUUCCCGGCCGCUUAUCGCCCUUAGAGUUGAUCCUGGCUCCCGACGAACGCUGGCGGCGCGCCUAACACAUGCAAGUCGAACGAGAGAUGAGGAGCUUGCUCUUCAAAUCGAGUGGCGAACGGGUGAGUAACGCGUGAGGAACCUGCCUCAAAGAGGGGGACAACAGUUGGAAACGACUGCUAAUACCGCGUAAGCCCACGGCUCGGCAUCGAGCAGAGGGAAAAGGAGCAAUCCGCUUUGAGAUGGCCUCGCGUCCGAUUAGCUAGUUGGUGAGGUAACGGCCCACCAAGGCGACGAUCGGUAGCCGGACUGAGAGGUUGAACGGCCACAUUGGGACUGAGACACGGCCCAGACUCCUACGGGAGGCAGCAGUGGGGAAUAUUGCACAAUGGGGGAAACCCUGAUGCAGCGACGCCGCGUGGAGGAAGAAGGUCUUCGGAUUGUAAACUCCUGUUGUUGAGGAAGAUAAUGACGGUACUCAACAAGGAAGUGACGGCUAACUACGUGCCAGCAGCCGCGGUAAAACGUAGGUCACAAGCGUUGUCCGGAAUUACUGGGUGUAAAGGGAGCGCAGGCGGGAGAACAAGUUGGAAGUGAAAUCCAUGGGCUCAACCCAUGAACUGCUUUCAAAACUGUUUUUCUUGAGUAGUGCAGAGGUAGGCGGAAUCCCCGGUGUACCGGUGGAAUGCGUAGAUAUCGGGAGGAACACCAGUGGCGAAGGCGGCCUACUGGGCACCAACUGACGCUGAGGCUCGAAAGUGUGGGUAGCAAACAGGAUUAGAUACCCUGGUAGUCCACACCGUANACGAUGAUUACUAGGUGUUGGAGGAUUGACCCCUUCAGUGCCGCAGUUAACACAAUAAGUAAUCCACCUGGGGAGUACGACCGCAAGGUUGAAACUCAAAGGAAUUGACGGGGGCCCGCACAAGCAGUGGAGUAUGUGGUUUAAUUCGACGCAACGCGAAGAACCUUACCAAGUCUUGACAUCCCUUGACGAACAUAGAAAUAUGUUUUCUCUUCGGAGCAAGGAGACAGGUGGUGCAUGGUUGUCGUCAGCUCGUGUCGUGAGAUGUUGGGUUAAGUCCCGCAACGAGCGCAACCCUUAUGGUCAGUUACUACGCAAGAGGACUCUGGCCAGACUGCCGUUGACAAAACGGAGGAAGGUGGGGAUGACGUCAAAUCAUCAUGCCCUUUAUGACUUGGGCUACACACGUACUACAAUGGCGUUAAACAAAGAGAAGCAAGACCGCGAGGUGGAGCAAAACUCAGAAACAACGUCCCAGUUCGGACUGCAGGCUGCAACUCGCCUGCACGAAGUCGGAAUUGCUAGUAAUCGUGGAUUAGCAUGCCACGGUGAAUACGUUCNCCGGGCAAUGUACACACGGCCCGUC